CAACCCUCAAGCCCAGCUUGGUGUUGGGGCAUUGCGGCUCGUCCGCAAGCCCUGAAAAGCAGUGGCGGGCUCGCCGUAACUCCGAGCGCAGUAGUUUAUUCUCGUUCUGGAAGCGUGGCGGGUGCCGGCCGUUAAACCCCUACUUUUAUAA
rnacentral:misc_RNA from 1 species